rnacentral:pre_miRNA from 1 species
GGAGGUUAAGGUCCUGAUUAGGGGGCAGUAGGAGAACUCAAGGAAGGCUGACUUGGGGGCCCCUCCUCUGUCCCCACAGGACUUUGGCCUGG